rnacentral:rRNA from 1 species
UACGAAGGGGGCUAGCGUUGUUCGGAAUCACUGGGCGUAAAGGGCGCGUAGGCGGCUUUAUAAGUCGGGGGUGAAAGCCUGUGGCUCAACCACAGAAUUGCCUUCGAUACUGUAGAGCUUGAGACCGGAAGAGGUAAGUGGAACUGCGAGUGUAGAGGUGAAAUUCGUAGAUAUUCGCAAGAACACCAGUGGCGAAGGCGGCUUACUGGUCCGGUUCUGGACGCUGAGGCGCGAAAGCGUGGGGAGCAAACAGG